AAAUUGAAGAGUUUGAUCAUGGCUCAGAUUGAACGCUGGCGGCAGGCCUAACACAUGCAAGUCGAACGGUAACAGGAAGCAGCUUGCUGCUUCGCUGACGAGUGGCGGACGGGUGAGUAAUGUCUGGGAAACUGCCUGAUGGAGGGGGAUAACUACUGGAAACGGUAGCUAAUACCGCAUAAUGUCGCAAGACCAAAGAGGGGGACCUUCGGGCCUCUUGUCAUCGGAUGUGCCCAGAUGGGAUUAGCUUGUAGGUGGGGUAACGGCUCACCUAGGCGACGAUCCCUAGCUGGUCUGAGAGGAUGACCAGCCACACUGGAACUGAGACACGGUCCAGACUCCUACGGGAGGCAGCAGUGGGGAAUAUUGCACAAUGGGCGCAAGCCUGAUGCAGCCAUGC
rnacentral:rRNA from 1 species